CAGUAGCCGCGGUAAUACGAAGGGGGCUAGCGUUGCUCGGAAUGACUGGGCGUAAAGGGCGCGUAGGCGGCGAUCAAAGUCAGGCGUGAAAUUCCUGGGCUCAACCUGGGGGCUGCGCUUGAUACUUGGUUGCUUGAGUGGGGAAGAGGGUCGUGGAAUUCCCAGUGUAGAGGUGAAAUUCGUAGAUAUUGGGAAGAACACCGGUGGCGAAGGCGGCGACCUGGUCCUCGACUGACGCUGAGGCGCGAAAGCGUGGGGAGCAAACAGGAUUAGAUACCCCUGUAGUCCCUGUCUCUUAUAA
rnacentral:rRNA from 1 species